AACAUCGCCUCUUGAAUCUCAUAAGAGGUCCAGCCUGCCCAGUGACACAAUUAAACGGCCGCGGUACCCUGACCGUGCGAAGGUAGCAUAAUCACUUGUUCUCUAAAUAAGGACUUGUAUCAACGGCAUCACGAGGGUUAUACUGUCUCCUCUUUUUAAUCAGUGAAACUGACUUUCCCGUGAAGAGGCGGGAAUAAAAAUACAAGACGAGAAGACCCCAUGGAGCUUUAAACCCAAUAGUAACCUCUAUUUACUACUACUACUUAAUUAAGAAGGUCUGUCUACUGGUUUUAGGUUGGGGUGACCCUGGAGUAAAACUUAGCCUCCAUGACGAAUAGAACUUAUUCUAAUCCCAGAGCUACCGCUCUACGAAUCAAAAUUUUGACGUAAACUGAUCCGCCUAGCGAUCAACGAACCAAGUUACCCUGGGGAUAACAGCGCAAUCCAUUUCAAGAGCCCCUAUCGACAAAUGGGUUUACGACCUCGAUGUUGGAUCAGGGUAUCCCAGUGGUGCAGCCGCUACUAAA
rnacentral:rRNA from 1 species